rnacentral:rRNA from 1 species
UACGUAGGGUGCGAGCGUUGUCCGGAAUUACUGGGCGUAAAGAGCUCGUAGGUGGUUUGUCACGUUGUUCGUGAAAACUCACAGCUCAACUGUGGGCGUGCGGGCGAUACGGGCAGACUGGAGUACUGCAGGGGAGACUGGAAUUCCUGGUGUAGCGGUGGAAUGCGCAGAUAUCAGGAGGAACACCGGCGGCGAAGGCGGUGCUCUGGGCCAGUAUUGACGCUGAGGAGCGAAAGCGUGGGUAGCAAACAGG